rnacentral:rRNA from 1 species
CUACGGGCGGCAGCAGUGGGGAAUAUUGGACAAUGGGCGAAAGCCUGAUCCAGCCAUGCCGCGUGUGUGAAGAAGGCCUUCGGGUUGUAAAGCACUUUCAGUGGGGAAGAAAGCCUUGGGGCUAAUACCCUCGAGGAAGGACAUCACCCACAGAAGAAGCACCGGCUAACUCCGUGCCAGCAGCCGCGGUAAUACGGAGGGUGCGAGCGUUAAUCGGAAUUACUGGGCGUAAAGCGCGCGUAGGCGGUCUGAUAAGCCGGUUGUGGAAGCCCCGGGCUCAACCUGGGAACGGCAUCCGGAACUGUCAGGCUAGAGUGCAGGAGAGGAAGGUAGAAUUCCCGGUGUAGCGGUGAAAUGCGUAGAGAUCGGGAGGAAUACCAGUGGCGAAGGCGGCCUUCUGGACUGACACUGACGCUGAGGUGCGAAAGCGUGGGUAGCAAACAGGAUUAGAUACCCCAGUAGUC